rnacentral:rRNA from 1 species
AACGAACGCUGGCGGCAGGCCUAACACAUGCAAGUCGAACGCUGUAGCAAUACAGAGUGGCAGACGGGUGAGUAACGCGUGGGAACGUGCCUUUCGGUUCGGAAUAACUCAGGGAAACUUGAGCUAAUACCGGAUACGCCCUUCGGGGGAAAGAUUUAUUGCCGAAAGAUCGGCCCGCAUCCGAUUAGCUAGUUGGUGUGGUAAUGGCGCACCAAGGCGACGAUCGGUAGCUGGUCUGAGAGGAUGAUCAGCCACACUGGGACUGAGACACGGCCCAGACUCCUACGGGAGGCAGCAGGGGGGAAUAUUGGACAAUGGGCGCAAGCCUGAUCCAGCCAUGCCGCGUGAGUGAUGAAGGCCCUAGGGUUGUAAAGCUCUUUCGCCAGGGACGAUAAUGACGGUACCUGGAUAAGAAGCCCCGGCUAACUUCGUGCCAGCCGCCGCUGUAA